GUGUGUAUGAAAGGAAAGAAAAUUAGUAUUGUCCUUGAUAAGGCUGGAAGAGCUCCUAGUGCCCUUUGCAACAUAUGUAGGUCAAGUCAAGUCAACAAAUAUUUAU
rnacentral:ncRNA from 1 species